rnacentral:rRNA from 1 species
GUACACUCCUGCGGGAGGCAGCAGUGGGGAAUAUUGGACAAUGGGCGCAAGCCUGAUCCAGCCAUGCCGCGUGAGUGAUGAAGGCCCUAGGGUUGUAAAGCUCUUUCACCGGUGAAGAUAAUGACGGUAACCGGAGAAGAAGCCCCGGCUAACUUCGUGCCAGCAGCCGCGGUAAUACGAAGGGGGCUAGCGUUGUUCGGAUUUACUGGGCGUAAAGCGCACGUAGGCGGACUAUUAAGUCAGGGGUGAAAUCCCGGGGCUCAACCCCGGAACUGCCUUUGAUACUGGUAGUCUUGAGUUCGAGAGAGGUGAGUGGAAUUCCGAGUGUAGAGGUGAAAUUCGUAGAUAUUCGGAGGAACACCAGUGGCGAAGGCGGCUCACUGGCUCGAUACUGACGCUGAGGUGCGAAAGCGUGGGGAGCAAACAGGAUUAGAAACCCCAGUAGUCC